rnacentral:pre_miRNA from 1 species
AUGUAAGGCAAUCUGUCUUCAAGUAGAAGUAAAUUACUCUUUAAAAGAAAAAGAAUCCGAGUUUUCCCUUUAAGUCAGGUGUCUUAU